UGUAGUCUGUCCUGUACAUUUAUUAUUACCGCUAACCUUUUCCUCUGCUCUGCUCACAUCCACCGUCACUUUCCUGCCACUCUUUCCUACUCGCUACGUAAACAUACUACGGACGAGAGCAUAUCGACCAGUCGACCAGCAGACUACAGCCCUACUAACUGGUAGAGAUGUCCUGAGCUGAUAUCUUAAAAGAUUGGUAUUAGCUAAAAUAAAAUAAAAUUGCCCAGACAUGCAAGUGAAAAUUAGAGUGUGAUUGUUUGAGCAAGUGACUGAAUUUUGACGUCUUGGUUGGCAAAAUACACGGAUUCACUAAACUCUAAUUGUAAUGUUCUUUCUCAUCGGCGAAGAGCAGCAUCGUACAAAACAUUCAGCUAGCAGCUUAGUUGGCACUGACCGUCGCUUUCGCUGGUUGACAACAUCGCCGUUGUUAACUGUGUGAGUAGCUUGACGGGAGGCCAAAAUGAUACUUGGCUGUUGUCGGGUUUGUGUGCUCUCUGUCUGUACUCGGCCGAAGAUCUGAUUUGUGAGGGAAGAUACCUCACUCUGUAACACGGCUGCGUUUCUGUAGUUCCAACCACUUCAACAGAAUCACGUCUCUCUAGCCGAUCACGUCUAUUUCAGUCAAAUUUAACACAAGCGUUCUUCAUCCUUCAUAUCGUUAUCAAUAAUCAAAGACGAUCGAGUUAAUAGUUUUGGACCAAGACCUUCAGUAUUUGGGUGAAGUCGCUUGUGACAAACGUUUGCCAAAGUCCGAAGUGCCAGAUAUAUAUAUUAGGUCAUAUAUUUUGCUGCUAUGUGAAUAUAAGUAUCGGCAGAUAACCGAUAUUAAAGGACUCAGAUCAGCCAUCCCUACUCAUCGGUGUGAAGAUGACACUCUGACCUUUGCUCUGCCCCCCCAACCCCCCACCCAUCCAUCUUUCUUAACAAAGAUCUGUAUGUAUAUGUUUUUUGAUACGUGCCCUGCCUCACUCUCUCCUCAUUCUCUCUCUCUCUCUCUCUCUCUCUCUCUCUCUCUCUCUUUCACACAUACAGUCUGUAGGGUUCAGUUGUGGGUUGAGCCCUAGAUCGAGAUUACUGUCUGCCGAUAUCCACCGUUUAUAAACUUGAUACAUUUUAUACCAAAGAAUUGACUGUUUUUCUCUAGAAACACCAAAAAGUUACCACUGCAAAAAAAAAUAAAGUUUUGCUAGUUGUUCUCUUAUAACAGAUGACCCUCCUGUUGAGUUGUAGGUUAUAUAAUACAUCUUUUAAAUCAUGAAGAAUUCACUUAAAACAAACAAACAUUACUAAGUAUUAAAUGUGUAAGGAUGUACUGUUAAUUCUUGCAGUCCCAGUACAGGUCUGGGGUCUGAUUCCCAGUAUGAAUCAAUAUUUUUUUCAUCAGAAUACACUGUGUUUAUGAGUAAACCAGUCAUGCAGUAAGACAAACUAGUAAGUGAACCCAGUGAACCUCUGCACUGUAGCUCUGUGUUACCUGAUUAUUAAGGUUUUUUUUUGUCAGAUGAGCACAGGAGCUAUUGAUUUUUUUUUAAACUGGCAACAGACCAUCUGGAUAACAGUAGACUAAUGGAGCUGCUCGGUCCACUGUGGAAGAUUGGCCGAAGCCCCCAAAACGACCUCCAAAUUGUGCGCUGACCUUGUGGACGCAGCCUCAGAGCUCAUCUCAUCACUGUUAAGUUGAUAGAUGGCGCAGCUAAAGGCGACUGACGACAGCCGAACCCCCCCCCCCGCCGCCCGCUGCAGAGAUGCUCGAGAUUUUUCUUUUUCUUUUUUUUUUUUUUCCAUAACUAUGACGCCUCCUCGUCCUAGCAAAAAAAAUUUGGGGGUCUUUAUGACAAAAAAUGUUGCAGAGAAGUCAAACAUCAUCCUCCAAAGACAACGACAACAACAUGAUGGAUGAUUCACAUGAGUAAAUGACAGCUGACCUUUUUUUUUUUCACAUAACACCUAUAUGUUAAACGAAGAUGAAAACGUAUGUUGACAGAGAGAUAUUUGUUGAACGGAUGCAUUAAUCAACUUAAUGAAUGACCUCAGUAGCACAACUGAUGUUUUGCAUAAACCUGUCAUGAUGAUUAUUAGAAGGCAUGAAGCUGCUCAUGUGAACCCCCCCCCCGCCCCCCCGUCAGACUAUAUUUGAACACACAUGAAAAAUGGCUUUUAUUUCACACUUUUAUGAUUUUUACACCCCUGCUGGGAUCAGUGAGAGCUGUGACACCACAGCUAGAGCCGAAACAAUGAGCUAAAACAGGCUAAACUAACUUUAAACCCAAAGAUAUUACAAAACGUCUGCAUCAUGUGUCGUCUGCUUUCUCUCCGUUAACAUCUAUAAAACUGAAUUUUGUGUGACUACUUUAAUAAUUCUGUUAAUCCAGGUUGUUGAGCCUUCCUUUUCUUUUCCUCCUUUUUUUUUCAUUUUUAUCACUUCAUCAUCUCCUCUUACACUGUUCUUAUCUCUCUCUCAUCUCCUGAACUCAGUUUCUCAGGUGCUGCCUUGAAAGUCUUUAAAUCCGCAGAUGUUACAAAAAAAGCUUUUCUUUAUGUCUUUAUGUGUGUGUGUGAAGUUAAAUGUGUGUGUGUCUAUUUUUUCUUAAGAGGGGUCUGUACAGAUGGCUGUGGCUAAUGUAUUUAUUUAUUCAUCUUUUAGUAGAUUAAAUGUUAAUCUCAAAAUUUAUAAAACUGUGAACAACGUAGCUAAAUAAAGUAUUACUAAGUGAAAUGCUUUAAUCGUUCGACCUCAUCUUUUUUUUUUUAAAUUUGGCAUCUAGGCGAGAUUCGUUGUAAAAAAGGCAGACGAGACCAGACAGGCAGACGGAACAGAAGUAGAGCAUUUAAUUAGAAAGUUUCUCCUUUACUCAGCCAACUGGACCAAGAACUGAACUCAGCUAAGGAUGAGAUCUCAGAGAAACAAGAGGACGAACGGAAGGACAGAUGAUUAUCGCAGCGAUCAGGGGCAUCGUGGGUCUUGAUCGCCGGAGUGAAAGAGUGAACCGUCCUCUCCGGCAGCCGUGUAAAAACACAGUUAUUUAUAUAGUGAUGAUUAGGGGGAGGGAGCAACAGUCUGCCCAUAUAGUCUCUUUAUGGGGACACAGCGCAGGUUCCCACAAGGUAAGUCUUUUAACUUUUAGCAUUAAGACUGUUUUUUUUCAUUGGGUUAGUUUUAGAUUAGGCAUGUAGUGGCUCUGUCUGUUAUAGGGUUUGUCUUCAGUGAAUUGAUAUACGUUAAAGGUCUUCAUAAGUGACUAAAAUGACUGUCGUAUGUGUGUGUGUAUGUGUGGACACUCUUGAACUUCUAUCUCUGCAAGGGCUGGUUUUACACCUCAAAAGUGGCUACAUGAGGAUCUCAAUCCCCAAGGCCUCCACCUCCCUCACACAAAAAUCUCAUCUAAAAGGAAGACAAAGAUGAGGUUGAGACAAAGAAAAAGGUUAUUUUGUACCAGCUGGAUAGAAUAUGUAAUCCAGCUGCAUUGUCUGAGUUCCCCUUCCUACUCCAUCCUACCUGGUCAUAGCCAGCACCUGACUGGACCCCCCCCCCCCCCUGUAUUUUCAUUCUAAUCACAGUGAGACAUCCUCGACGUGUCACAGAGCCUAGAAACAUGCUGGACGUUCACAUCAGUCCACUAUAUGACACAUGUUUUCAAGUAAUGUAAGUCAUUGCAAUGUUCUCCAAAAGUGCUGCUAAAUCUGAAAUUCACAGCGACUUUAUGCAGUGAUUGGACAGGUGUGCAGAGGUGAGAACGUUGGCAGGGUUUGAGCCAGAGAGGCAGAGUUUUUUCAGUCUUAACACAACUAUUUUAGGCACUUUUCAUAUGUAAGAAUUGCAACACUAUGAACGCCUUCCAGGAGAGACUGAAAAUAUGCUCCCAUGUUAUCCCCCUUCUAACAAUUAUCACGUCUCUCCCCAUUCUCACCUCGCCUUCGAGUGUGACUGUUUAUGACAGCUGCCUUCCAAUAUGGUCAAACUAGUUCUUUUCAAGCAUACCCCCAUUUUAAGACUGGCAUUUGGUGAGGUUAAAGGACAGGUUCACAUUUUUUCAAUCACAUUUUUUUUUUAAUCAUUCCUCCUUUU